rnacentral:lncRNA from 1 species
UUCGCUUUCAAAUAGGCACAAAAAUAAGUAAGUUAUCUGAUAGGAAACUAGAAUAAUACGGCUGAGGAGACCUUGAAAAAUGUAGCUUAGUCUUUUUAAAGCAUAAGAAGGAAGAAAUAAUUUCAACAUAUGUGUGAUGUUUUGACAUCUUAAAGCUAGACAUAUGAAUGAAAAAAUAUGUACAAUGAAAAUUUUCAGGAAUUAUUUCCUACUCUUAAGUUAACACUAAAUGUGGAAAUAAAUGCCAAGCCAAUAUUAGCAAGGGAUUUACCAGAGGAAAUAUGUAAUAUAAUGAGAUAUCUUGGGAAAUUUUAAGAAUAGCCAAAUAACCAACUAGUUAACAUGAGGGCAGGUUUACCUUUGUCCUUGUAAUUUUUGUGGAAUAUCUUUUAUCUGUUGUUGUUGACUUAUUCUGUUGAUACAAAUAGGUGAUAAAAAGUAUUAUUUUUUUUACCUUUGCUUUAGCUUAAUUUUUGCCUUUCAAUCCUUUUGCAAUUUGACCAAAUUUGUGUUUAUUAUAGUGUGCAAAAGGAAACCAAAUGUUAGACCUUUAUACUUUUAAAAGAUGUAGCAUAUAUAGAAAAGUCAGUAUCUUUCAUCCUAAGUUUCUUUAAUACAAAUAUCAAGUUUAGGGUUUUCUCUGUGUAAAUGAUUGGAUAUUGGAUUGGCAUUCAGAUGUGGUUAGGCAUUGCUAUAAAAAUUGAGAAUUGAGCCUCUUAAGACACAAAUAUAUUUGAAGUUUAAUGUAAAUUUAAGCAUAAAUUGACAGUAAAUUUAUAAUCGCCUACCAGAGGUAUAAUUUGACCCAUAAAAAAAGAAUAAAGAAGAUUAGAAACAUUAAAUGAAGAUUAUCCUUUUUAGUCUAGUAUUAGUAAUUAUAAAAAUAACAAAUGAUACGGUAAGUUCUACAUUAAUGUAAUAGAAUACAGCUUUCUUUUUAUUAUCAACAAGGCAAAAGUAAUAAAUUACAUUUUAAAAAGAUCUGCAUGGACUUCUGAGCCAAGCUUGUAAAAUUUGCAGUGUUUUUGAUGUAUAAAAAUAGUGGAUUCAUGAGAAUAAAAUGAAGAUACUACUUUAAAUUACUAUAUUUCAUAAAUAAUUUACUUUGCUACCAUUUUCUGCUUAAGAGCCAGAGUGAUAAAUGCUUAAAUAUUUGUUUUUAUUUUAGCAUUUUGAAUCUUGAACCAGAAAAAUCACCUGAUCAAGUUGGUGAUUGGGUUGCAUUGCAUUUGUUAGUUAUAGUAAUAACUGUUUAAAAAAUUACCCGAAGUUCCACAGAAAUGAAAGAAACCAUGCCUGUAGUUAAUACAAGGUUGUUAUGAACUAUACAUGUCACUAAGAGGCUAGAUUAUAUGAAAUUAAUCUUGGAAGGCCGUUAGGCUUACCAUUAUACCAUCAACGUACACUGAAAUAGGUAAUUUUGUAUACAAAUUUUCUUUUAAGUUUAGUUUACUAUUACCCGAAGUUUCUUAUUUAAAAAUUUGGACUGUGGACAGCCAAUUAAUUUACCUUUUCUAUGAGAUUUAUACUUUUUUGAGAGGCUUAGGGGGAAAAAGAUAAUUUGAGGACCUCUCCAUCUCUUGCAUUGAUGAGAGGUGUGUGAUAGAGCAGAAAGUAUAACUCUGAUGCAGCAGUCAGGAGAGCUGGCUUCUAACCUAAAUUACCCUUGUGAUUUUGACGUUUUAUUCAUUGUGGCCCUUCUCUUAAUUUGUUUAAAGUAUUUGAAAUAUUCAAUUUCUUAUGAUACCUUUUUGGUCUCAAAUUGUGUGGUAAAAAUAAUAGAAUGUCUUGAUUCUCUUAAACUGCCUAAGUAUUUUUGUAGUUUUUGAAUUGCAAAUCAUGGUUGUUAUUUCUGUGGUGAAGUUAAUUUGAAUAACAAGACCUGGGUGAUAAUGUACCCAGCUUUCCUAAUUUUAGGCAUUCCAUAAUAUUAAUAAAUAGUAUAAAGCAGACAUAAUGGAAAGUUAAUCUUAAAAAGCAGUUAAGGUGUGAAAUUGUCUUUAAAAAACAAAGAUUUAGAAGGCUACAAUAAAAACAUUGUUUGAAUUUUUGCCUAGUUAUUUUAUUAAAUAAUUUAAAGAUUAGUGUAUUUAAGGUAAUUUGCACCUGACCAUCUGAUUAUAAAUGGUGAUUUAUAAUUUACAUGCUUGACAUAAUCUUUUUAAGAAGUUUCUAUUCUUCAAUGAUAAAUAUACCUCAUUUACCUUUUCCCUUACAGAUCGAGUGGCUCAAAACAGACAGUUUUCAUAUUGGCUGUUAGUGCUGAAUAUAGAUAAUUUUUAAAAUUUAAAUUCAAGGAUACUCUCAACUUUCUAAAGCAAAAACUGACUUGAUUUACGUAACAUUCAAGUAGCAUGUUUCUUACCGUUUGAUAAAGUUUUAUACAUUGUAUAAAGCUAGAUCCCUGUUUUAAAAGAUAGUUCUUUGUUUUUUGAAACUAUUCCAUUUAUUUGAAAUUGAAUAUUUCCUAAGCAAGCAAUUAUAUCCUUAAUGUGAUAGAGUCAUUUCAAUUUAGGUUAUUAAGCUAGAUAUUUUGCUUAACAUUAAUGGUUUGUGAGUUGUGAUGUUUUCUUAUAUAACUGUUAAUGAAUUUAUCACUACCUUAUUUUUGUGGAAGAUUUCUUAUAUUUCACAGUACUCUCAGGUUUAAUUCUUAAUUUAAAUGUAAAAAUUGUUUUAGGGACUUUAAAAGGUGACAAAAUCAGGAGUUCCCAUCGUGGUGCAGCAGAAACAAUCCAGCUAGGAACCAAGAGGUUUUGGGUUCGGAUCCCUGCUCUGUGGGUUAAGGAUCUGGCAUUACCAUGAGCUGUGGUGUAGGUUGCAGAUGUUCAGACUUGGCGUUGCUGUGGCUGCUGUGGCAUAGGCUGGCAGCUUGGAUUGGAUCCCUAGCCUGGGAACCUCCAUAUGCUGUGGGUGCAGCCCCCCCCCAAAAAAAGGUGACAAAAUAAAAUAUUCUUAGAUGCACAAAUGGGCUAGUAAUGGUAGGACUUGAUUCAGGCCAUCUUGUCUUUUAUUAUGACAAGCAAUCAAAAUUGUUAUUUGCAUUAUAGCUAUAAUUUCAUACUAAAUGAGGAUCUUUGAUACUGCAAAAUAUUAAAAAUAGGUAGGCAUGUGAGCAAAAUUAUCAACUUUGAUAGUUUGCUUAAUGUGAACUUGGUUUACCUCCCCCUUAAAAGGAGGGCUGAGUGGGCCGAGUACUGCUUUGUCAGUGUUUGGAAAGGAAAUUGUAUGGCAGGUUAAAUGGGUGUCAGUAAUCUUUGUGGUGGUACAAGAUGUGACCCAGGUCAUCUUCUGUUUUUGGUGGACUGAGCACCUUGAGCCCUAAUACUUGUACUGGUAGGUAGCCUUUUUUUCCUUUUUUUCUUUUUUUUAAAUUAGAGUACAGUUGAUUUACAAGUAGGUGGCUUUUUUGUAAGCAGGUUCUCAGACUGAUGUGAUAGAUUUCCCUCAGACUUUGCUUUCACCCAACAUUCCUUAGGUCAUUUCCACCCUUCUCUUGGGGUUUAUAUCAAUUUAUUUUACUUGGCUGAUUUAGAAUUUGUCUUUGUUCACAAACUUUUCUUUAUAAAGUCAGAUUAAAUUUGGAAGUUUAAGAAUAAAUAAUGCUGUGUUUCUUGUAAAUUGUUUCAUUUAUUAACUUCUUGGGAGGAUAUUUUAGCAUGUUGCUCUUAAAAGUAAUUUUGAAGCAGAUCUUUGCAAUAUUUCUUGGUUGUGAUUAGUCAAAAUGAUUAAAGGGAUUUAGAUUUGGUAAGAUAAUCAGGAAGUUGGCUUUAAAAUUUGAAAAUUGGAAACCUUAGUCAUGGAAAAGCAUUUGGGUAAGCAUAGUUUUAGAUUAAGUCCUAAACUUUGGCUUUCUAAAAAUCCUCACAUUGCUACACUUAAAUAGUGAACUUUUAAACAAAGCUUUUUGGGUAGUUCUAGCUAUUGUGAUUAUUAUGAUCAACUUAGGAGCAGGAGAGACUGAAAAAAGUGUAUACCUAUGUUCUCAAAAAUGUAUUUGAGAUGUAGGAAACAUCUUUCACAUGAGGUAUUUCAGUCUAACUAGUGAACUAACUAGUGAAGACUAUGGAUGUAUCCUGAUCAAGCAAAUAUUUUUAGGAAGGGUUAGUGUUGAGUAGGUCAUUGUAAGUAGUAGUACAAAAAGCUUGACAUUUUAAGAUUUCGAUCCUAGAACAGUGUUGAUUAGAGUACAUGAUAAUGUGAAAUAAUAUGGUAAUAUUAAGGAGUGAGUAAUACGGCCUUGCCAGGUUGGUAAUGGAAGUUUUCCUUUAGAAGUCUUAAAAGUAGAUUAGAUGAAAGACUAGAAAAUAAAGUAAUUCUGUGCUGUUAAGGAGUGAUAUUGGCUUUUAUAUUAAUCAGCUACCUCUCAGCUGCCCAUUAGAUCUACCUAAAGAGCCCAGACUUUACUAGGGAGUUCUUGGAGCAUGAGAAAUGUUUUUACUCUACAGGUGAGCCUUCUGAACAGUCAAAUUUAAGAUCCUCUGGAUUAGAACUUUGUUGUUUUGUUUUGUUUUGUUUUGUUUUGUUUUGGAUUAGAACUUUUGGCUACAUUUAUAAAUGCACAUAUGUCUUGGUCUUUCGGAGAGUGAUCCUGAUAAGGUGUUGAAAUUUCCAAAUCUAUUUUUGUCUUUUUUGUAUGUGUACAAUUAUAUUCUUUUUGUUUUCUGCAGCAAUAUGAAUCCUGAGGCUGAAUUGUCUAAGGGGCCUGUACAGCGAAAUAGAUAGAGGUAUAAAUGGAUGGAAGGAAACUCACAUUUGAACAUUCUUCUAAUACUGCACCCUAGCUGUUGGUAAGCUCCCCAUUUUUAUAAAUAAAGUUUUAUUGGAACACAGCUAAGCUCUUUCAUUUACAUAUUAGCUGUGUCUGCUUUCUGACUACAGCUGCAGAGAGUAGAUUUAGCUAAUGGCCACAAACCCUAACAUAUUUAGUUAUUUAGUAUUUUAACCUGUAAGGAAAUCUUGCCUAUCCUUUCCCUAGAUUCAUCCUUUUUGUCAACUUUAUGUAGAACUCAAAAGCACUUGGAUUCUCUUAAUAAUGGGGGUGUACCUUUUACUUUGUUAGUAUUUCAUUGUUAGAAUUCAAAUAACAUAAGUAAUCAUGAGCUUGGCUUAAACUCCAAAGCCCAACAAAGGUUCUUUCACACCAGCAUUAUGCUUUAAUAUUAGAAGAUUUGGGGAGUUCCCGGUGUGGCACAGUGGAAAUGAAUCAACUAGUAUAGUAUCCAUGAGGAUUUGGGUUCUAUCCCCGGCCUCACUCAGUGGAUUAAGGAUUUGGAGUUGCUGUGAGCUGUGGUGUAGGCCAGCAGCUGCAGCUCUGAUUCGACCCCUAGUCUAGGAACUUCCUUAUGACACAGGUAUGGCCCCAAAAAGCAAAAAAAAAAAAA